rnacentral:rRNA from 1 species
AGCAGCCGCGGUAAUUCCAGCUCCAAUAGCGUAUAUUAAAGUUGCUGCAGUUAAAAAGCUCGUAGUUGAAUUUCGGGACCAUCAUGUCGGUCGUGCCUCGGUACGUACUGGCAUUGUUGGUUUCUACCUUCUGACGAACCAUGAUGUCAUUUAUUUGGUGUCGUGGGAAAUCAGGACUGUUACUUUGAAAAAAUUAGAGUGUUUAAAGCAGGCUCACGCUUGAAUACAUUAGCAUGGAAUAAUGAAAUAGGACGUUUGAUUCUAUUUUGUUGGUUUCUAGGAUCGACGUAAUGAUUAAUAGGGAUAGUUGGGGGCAUUAGUAUUCAAUUGUCAGAGGUGAAAUUCUUGGAUUUAUUGAAGACUAACUACUGCGAAAGCAUUUGCCAAGGAUGUUUUCAUUAAUCAAGAACGAAAGUUAGGGGAUCGAAGACGAUCAGAUACCGUCGUAGUCUUAACCAUAAACUAUGCC